AAUAACUUAUUAAUGUAACUAUAUAGUACCUACUAAUAAAUUAAUUAUAUGUAAUAUUAAUAAUAUUAAUUUUAACAGUAAAUAAUAUUGAAACUUAUUUUUGUUGAUACUCAGAUAUUUAUUGUAAGCUAGAUUAAUUUUGUGCCAGCAUUCGCGGUUAUACAGACUUAGUUAAAAUUAUUUUUUUUAUUUAAUUUAAUUUUUAGGCAUUGAUUUUAUUUAAAAUAUAUUUAGGUGGAAUUUAUAUAUUUAAUUUAAAUCUUAUUUAUAUUUUUAUAAAUAUUAAUUGUAGAUUAGGAUUAGAUACCCUUUUAUUUUUUGUUUAGAUUAAUUAUGAAUAUUAAUAGGUAUAUUCUAUAAAACUCAAAGAAUUUGGCGGUGACUAAUCUUUUCAGGGGAAUCUGUUUAUUAAUUGAUAAACCACGUUAGUUUCUACUAAAAUUUAAUUUGUAUAUCGCUAUAAUGAAUAAUCUUAAAGGAAUUUUUUAUUUUAAUUAUUUAAUUUAUAUUAGGUCAAGGUGCAGUUUUAUUUAAGAUUAAAUGGAUUACUUUAAUUAUAACUUUUAUUGGAUCAUUAUAUUUAAUUAUAUUUUGAAAUAGGAUUUGAUAGUAACUUUAUUUAAUUAUUUAAUUUGAAUUAAGCUAUAAGUCAUGUACAUAUUGCCCGUCACUCCAAUUUUAAUGGAUAAGUCGUAACAAAGUAAUUUUACUGGAAAGUGAGGUUAGAUUAU
rnacentral:ncRNA from 1 species